UACGAAGGGUGCAAGCGUUACUCGGAAUUACUGGGCGUAAAGCGUGCGUAGGUGGUCCGUUAAGUCUGUUGUGAAAGCCCUUGGCUCAACCAAGGAAUUGCUUCGGAUACUGGCGGACUUGAGGCUAGUAGAGGUCACUGGAACUGACGGUGGAGCGGUGAAAUGCGUAGAUAUCGUCAGGAACGCCGGUGGUGAAGACGGGUGACUGGGCUAGUUCUGACACUGAGGCACGAAAGCGUGGGGAGCGAACGGG
rnacentral:rRNA from 1 species